rnacentral:rRNA from 1 species
GGUCAAGAAGAGAAGCGCAAACGGUGGAUGCCUUGGCAGUAAGAGGCGAAGAAGGACGUGGAAUCCUGCGAAAAGCUAUGGGGAGCUGGAAACGAGCGUUGAGCCAUAGAUGUCCGAAUGGGGGAACCCGGCUGCAGCGAUGCGGUCAUUUGCAUUUGAAUACAUAGGAUGCAAAGGCGAACUCGGGGAACUGAAACAUCUAAGUACCCGAAGGAAAAGAAAUCAAGAGAGAUUCUCCAAGUAGCGGCGAGCGAACGGGGAGGAGCCUGGCGUGAUUUAUUAUUGAACUGAGUAGAACAAUUUGGGAAAGUUGGCGAUAGAGGGUGAAAGCCCCGUAUACGAAGGUUUGAUGAGGAACUAGGCACGCGAACAAGUAGGCCGGGACACGUGAAAUCCUGGUUGAAGAUGGGUGGACCAUCAUCCAAGGCUAAAUACU